rnacentral:misc_RNA from 1 species
AUGAGAUAAGUUAUGAGAAAAUACUAGUAGUUUGUUAAUGGAAAUGCUGAUACCAAGCUCUAGGCAUCUUGUGUCCUCCAACAAACAUGGCGUUCAGCUGUUUUGUUGUUCAUAUUUCAGAGUUCCAUUGUAUAGUGCAGAGUAAAGAUUUUAUAUUAUAUUCUCAUUGUUGAGAAUUAUAAUUACUCGCAUAUACCUAAG